GAUGUGCUAGACCACAUGUGGUUUCUUGUUAACUUAAGGGAGUGGAAAUCCAACCUAUACAGAGUACACCAGAUCCAUUGAAUCAUGGAAGACUAGAACUGGAAGGAUCCCAUCAAGUCCAGCCCUUUGCCAAAGGCCAAAUUUAUAUGUUUUCAGGAGUACACUAGAAAAUACAGAAUUUAAAGAAGAAGGCUUGGAGCCUCUGAAAAUCUGCUCUAGAUGGUUGGACAACCCUUCAGGAUUGGCUACCACUGCUUUGGAAUACCUUGACAGAUUUUUAUUUUUGAAUUGGAAACUAAAUACGAAACAUUCACUGUAUAAACACGAAGCCCAAGCAGAAACAAGUGUCCGUGAUGGAUGCAGUUGAAAAGCAGUGAAAUGCCAAGAGGAAUGAAAAUGAAAUAUUAAAGUGCUCAGGAGGCAGAAAAUGGUUUGUAAUAGUCACUUGUAAAUAAUUGUCACUGUAAACAUUACAUAUGGAUAAUCUCUUUUUCACUUGCACUGGUUGAUGUGCCACUUGUAUAAAUGUCUGUGCCACUAUUCAGAAAAGCUAAGACCCAGCAAGGAAUAUAUUCUAUUUCUUGGCAGUAUGUCUUAAAAACUUUAAAUAAAAGUAUGUAUUUUGGAGGGGGGGGGACCCA
rnacentral:lncRNA from 1 species